UCCAGAGACCAGAGUAGGGAGUUCCAUGUCUCAAAAAAGAAAAAAAAGAGUAGGGAGUUCCAGACCCAGCCACCGACGCAUCGAGCCAGCCGCUCGCUUCCUUUCGCGACCUCCGGAUUUCGCCAUCUUGCUCGCUCGUCGCGUCCCCGCCUGUGUAGCCGAUCGUUGGGCGCCCAGGACCACAGCCUGUCCGUCCCGCCCGCUCGGUGUUUGGGGCUCGACGGCGGCCGCGCCACCUCAACUGCGCAGUCGUGCCCCUGCAAGCCGGCGCUGGCGCCGGCGCCCAAUCCGCACAUCGGCGCUCGGCCGCAGGCAGCCAGCAACCAUCCGUGUUGAUUUGAGAAGCCACAAAAUUGAGGUACGCAGAAGAUGAACAAACCUGAGAAAUGAUGAUCCAAAGAUGAGUCGGAGUUCGAGCAUCGCAUAGCCGUCAGCUGUGGUUGCUUGUAGGCGGAGUGUCUCAGACCUAAGUUGUUGCCGCUGGACCGUGGUUACAUGCAUCCUCGCUUGGAGGCAGCGGUGCUGGGAGAUAUGCAUGUCCAAGGUGAAGAAGUGGACGAAGCCCGAAGAAGCAAUCUGUGUCUCCCUAUCGCUGUGUCCUGCUCCUCAAUAUGUCACCUUAGUUAUGGCCGCCUUAUCUCUCAUGCUGCUGAUUUAAACCUGCCCUACUCUUCUUCUCCUAGGCUAGUCGAGCGCUUCAGCGGGUGCCUCGCCGACGACGGGGAAGGAAGGAUCAGAAGUGAUGGCUAUAGUGCUAAGAAAUUGGAAACCCUAGCAAUUGAUCUUCUCUAUAAACAUUUGUGGCAAGGGACGUGGAACCUGCUUCAGGGAAGAAGAGAUGGAUCACGUGAGAGAAGAUACCAGCUUGCAUCCUUUAUCGGACAGACAAUUGUUUUUUUUUGCCAAUUGCCUAGUCCAUAUUGUCCAUGUGUUCGAUGCAUGCAAACGUGUGGCUCUUGGAGUUUGUAGGUAGACCUGCUAUAUUGCUCUUGAUAUGUGUAAAGAGCUUUACUUUUUAUUUCCCCUUUUUCCUUUCCAAUUCGGACAUGCAUCAGUUCAUGCGUGACUGUACUCUUGUUUUAAUUAUAUAUAAUAGAUUGCACC